rnacentral:misc_RNA from 1 species
GUGGGGCUCCGGCCCCGCCGAGAUAGAACCCUUGCCUUUUCGAGUACCACACGUUUCCUCGGCAGGCCCGCCUGCCAAUGGGGACCCGAACACAAACCUUUUAUCAACCGUCACUGUCUGAGAAAACAAAACAAAAAUCAAAACUUUCAACAACGGAUCUCUUGGUUCU